CAGUGUCAGCCCUGAACGAGCUAGGGGUCAAGGUCACGUACAGCGUGCUACGACAGGGCGGGCCCGUGCAUUGUCCAAGCUUCACUGUCGCUGUUACGGUGGCGGACAUGACGUUCGAGGGCUGGGGCCACAGCAAGCGCGACGCGCGCGCGUCGGCGGCGCGCGCCGGCCUCGCCGCGCUGCUCGCGCGCGCCGGCCGCGUGCUGCCCCGAGCCGAGCCCGGGGACUUCGCCAGCGACG